UCCGGUUGAUCCUGCCAGAGGUUAUACUGCUAUCGAGGUUCGACUAAGCCAUGCGAGUCGAAUGUAGCAAUACAUGGCGUACUGCUCAGUAACACGUGGACAACCUACCCUUAGGACGGGGAUAAACCCGGGAAACUGGGUAUAAUACCCGAUAGUCCUCGGCUGCUGGAAUGCACCGAGUACUAAAGCUCCGGCGCCUAAGGAUGGGUCUGCGGCCUAUCAGGUAGUAGUGGGUGUAGCGUACCUACUAGCCUACGACGGGUACGGGUUGUGAGAGCAAGAGCCCGGAGAUGGAUUCUGAGACACGAAUCCAGGCCCUACGGGGUGCAGCAGGCGCGAAAACUUUACAAUGCUGGCAACAGCGAUAAGGGGACCUCGAGUGCCAGGUUACAAAUCUGGCUGUCGUGAUGCCUAAAAAGCAUUGCAUAGCAAGGGCCGGGCAAGACCGGUGCCAGCCGCCGCGGUAACAC
rnacentral:rRNA from 1 species